AGAACUCUGGAAAGCGAAAAGCACCGAAGGAGCAAUCCAAAUAUUGGAGAAUCUCUCAGGUAAAUGAACAGAGUAAG
rnacentral:ncRNA from 1 species